rnacentral:rRNA from 1 species
UACGUAGGGUGCGAGCGUUAAUCGGAAUUACUGGGCGUAAAGCGUGCGCAGGCGGUUUUGUAAGCCAGAUGUGAAAUCCCCGGGCUUAACCUGGGAAUGGCAUUUGGGACUGCAAGGCUUGAGUGCGGCAGAGGAGACUGGAAUUCCUGGUGUAGCAGUGAAAUGCGUAGAUAUCAGGAAGAACACCCGUGGCGAAGGCGGCUCUCUGGGACGGUACUGACGCUGAGACGCGAAAGCGUGGGGAGCGAACAGG